rnacentral:rRNA from 1 species
GGACUACCGGGGUAUCUAAUCCUGUUUGCUACCCACGCUUUCGCGCCUCAGCGUCAGAUGAUGCCCAGUUUGCUGCCUUCGCCAUGGGUGUUCCUCCUGAUAUCAACGCAUUUCACCGCUACACCAGGAAUUCCACAAACCUCUGCAUCCCUCUAGUCCUGCAGUAUGCAAAGCAGUUUCCGGGUUGAGCCCUGGAGAUUUCACUUCACACUUACAAGACCGCCUACGCGCUCUUUACGCCCAGUAAAUCCGGACAACGCUUGCACCCUACGUCUUACCGCGGCUGCUGGCAC